rnacentral:rRNA from 1 species
AGAGGUUGAUUCUGGCUCAGGAUGAACGCUGGCGGCGUGCCUAACACAUGCAAGUCGAACGGGGAUUUCACGGACAGAGACUUCGGUUGAAGGAAAUGAAAUCCUAGUGGCGGACGGGUGAGUAACGCGUGGGGAAUCUGCCCUGUACUGGGGGAUAACACUUAGAAAUAGGUGCUAAUACCGCAUAAGCGCACGGAGACGCAUGUCUCUGUGUGAAAAACUCCGGUGGUACAGGAUGAUCCCGCGUCAGAUUAGGUAGUUGGUGGGGUAACGGCCCACUAAGCCGACGAUCUGUAGCCGGCCUGAGAGGGUGAACGGCCACAUUGGGACUGAGACACGGCCCAAACUCCUACGGGAGGCAGCAGUGGGGAAUAUUGCACAAUGGGGGGAACCCUGAUGCAGCGACGCCGCGUGAAGGAAGAAGUAUCUCGGUAUGUAAACUUCUAUCAGUAGGGAAGAAAGUGACGGUACCUGACUAAGAAGCCCCGGCUAACUACGUGCCAGCAGCCGCGGUAAUACGUAGGGGGCAAGCGUUAUCCGGAUUUACUGGGUGUAAAGGGAGCGUAGACGGCGUAUCAAGUCUGAUGUGAAAGGCUGGGGCUCAACCCCGGGACUGCAUUGGAAACUGGUAUGCUUGAGUGCCGGAGAGGUAAGCGGAAUUCCUAGUGUAGCGGUGAAAUGCGUAGAUAUUAGGAGGAACACCAGUGGCGAAGGCGGCUUACUGGACGGUAACUGACGUUGAGGCUCGAAAGCGUGGGGAGCAAACAGGAUUAGAUACCCUGGUAGUCCACGCCGUAAAC